UACGUAGGGUGCGAGCGUUAAUCGGAAUUACUGGGCGUAAAGCGUGCGUAGGCGGUUCGUUAUGUCUGCUGUGAAAGCCCCCGGGCUUAACCUGGGGAAUGGCAGUGGAAACUGGCGGGCUUGAGUGUGGCAGAGGGGGGUGGAAUUCCGCGUGUAGCAGUGAAAUGCGUAGAGAUGCGGAGGAACACCGAUGGCGAAGGCAGCCCCCUGGGCUGACACUGACGCUCAUGCACGAAAGCGUGGGGAGCAAACAGG
rnacentral:rRNA from 1 species